rnacentral:rRNA from 1 species
AUUGAACGCUGGCGGCAUGCUUUACACAUGCAAGUCGAGCGGCAGCGCGGGGGCAACCCUGGCGGCGAGCGGCGAACGGGUGAGUAAUGCAUCGGAACGUAUCCUCGAGUGGGGGAUAACCCAGCGAAAGUUGGGCUAAUACCGCAUGAGCUCUGAGGAGGAAAGCGGGGGACCUGCGAGGGCCUCGCGCUGGAGGAGCGGCCGAUGUCUGAUUAGCUAGUUGGUGGGGUAAAGGCUUACCAAGGCGACGAUCGGUAGCUGGUCUGAGAGGAUGAUCAGCCACACUGGGACUGAGACACGGCCCAGACGCCUACGGGAGGCAGCAGUGGGGAAUUUUGGACAAUGGGGGCAACCCUGAUCCAGCCAUGCCGCGUGAGUGAAGAAGGCCUUCGGGUUGUAAAGCUCUUUCGGACGGAACGAAAUGGGCGGGACUAAUACUCCUGUCUGAUGACGGUACCGUAAGAAGAAGCACCGGCUAACUACGUG